rnacentral:rRNA from 1 species
UGGGGAAUAUUGCACAAUGGGCGAAAGCCUGAUGCAGCAACGCCGCGUGAGUGAUGAAGGCCUUCGGGUUGUAAAGCUCUGUCUUUUGGGACGAUAAUGACGGUACCAAAGGAGGAAGCCACGGCUAACUACGUGCCAGCAGCCGCGGUAAUACGUAGGUGGCAAGCGUUGUCCGGAUUUACUGGGCGUAAAGGAUGCGUAGGCGGAUUUUUAAGUGAGAUGUGAAAACCCUAAGCUUAACUUGGGGACUGCAUUUCAUACUGGAAAUCUAGAGUGCGGGAGAGGAGAAUGGAAUUCCUAGUGUAGCGGUGAAAUGCGUAGAGAUUAGGAAGAACACCAGUGGCGAAGGCGAUUCUCUGGACCGUAACUGACGCUGAGGCAUGAAAAGCGUGGGUAGCAAACAGGAUUAGAUACCCUGGUAGUCCACGCCGUAAACGAUGAGUACUAGGUGUGGGAGGUAUCGACCCCUUCUGUGCCGCAGUUAACACAAUAAGUACUCCGCCUGGGAAGUACGAUCGCAGGAUUAAAAACUC